rnacentral:rRNA from 1 species
AACAAACGCUGGCGGCGUGCCUAAUACAUGCAAGUCGAACGGGGAAAGCCUUCGGGUGAGUACUAGUGGCGCACGGGUGAGUAACACGUGGGCAAUCUGCUUUAGAGUGGGGGAUAACCAGUCGAAAGAUUGGCUAAUACCGCAUAAGACCACAGGAUCUGCGGAUAUAGGGGUCAAAGGUUUUUCGCUCUAAAAUGAGCCCGCGCGGGAUUAGCUAGUUGGUGAGGUAACGGCUCACCAAGGCUACGAUCUCUAGCUGGUCUGAGAGGAUGAUCAGCCACACUGGAACUGAGACACGGUCCAGACUCCUACGGGAGGCAGCAGUAGGGAAUAUUGCACAAUGGAGGAAACUCUGAUGCAGCGACGCCGCGUGAGUGAUGAAGGCCUUGGGUCGUAAGGCUCUGUCGUAUGGGAAUAAGAAAGUAGAAUGUACCAUGCAAGAAAGGAUCGGCUAACUUCGUGCCAGCAGCCGCGGU